rnacentral:rRNA from 1 species
GCCAUUUAAAGUGGUACGCGAGCUGGGUUUAGAACGUCGUGAGACAGUUCGGUCCCUAUCUGCCGUGGACGUUGGAGAUUUGAGGAAAGCUGCUCCUAGUACGAGAGGACCGGAGUGGACGAACCUCUGGUGUUCGGGUUGUGACGCCAGUCGCAUUGCCCGGUAGCUAUGUUCGGACAGGAUAACCGCUGAAAGCAUCUAAGCGGGAAGCCCCUUCCAAGAUGAGAUCUCCCUGGACCCUCGAGGUCCCUGAAGAGCCGUUCAAGACCAGGACGUUGAUAGGUCGGGUGUGUAAGCGCUGCGAGGCGUUGAGCUAACCGAUACUAAUUGCUCGU